rnacentral:ncRNA from 1 species
GACAGGGGUGCCUUAAAAAGCUGAGACGGAUUUUUCCGAACCCUUUAACCUGAUACGGGUAAUGCCGGCGUAGGGAGCUUU